rnacentral:rRNA from 1 species
AACUUUUACAACGAUCUCUUGGCUCUCGCAUCGAUGAAGUACGCAGCGAAAUCCGAUAAGUAAUGUGAAUUGCAGAAUUCAGUGAAUCAUCGAAUCUUUGGACGCACCUUGCGCUCCUUGGUAUUCCGAGGAGCAAGCCUGUUUGAGUGUCA